GCUGAAUUUUGACGUAAUUUCUCUUGAUGUAGCUAACAGGUGGCAGAGGUGUAUUUGAAAGUCAGCAGUAUUCUGAUAGCGAUUAGAAUGUCCUCCGUCUGCUAGUCUUCUUGAUUCUUAAAUUCUGUGGAGCUCAAAUUGACAACAAAGCUUGUGGAACUGAUUAAGUGUUAGCAUAAAUAUCUAGCCUUUAUCAUGUUGAGACUCCUUAAUAAUUAUUACUCCAUGUUUUUAUAUUUUUUUUUAUUUUAUAAAGCAGAAAAGAAAUAUUUAUUUUAUUUUUAUACCACCACAGUGAAUGUACUUAUGGGUUUUAUGCCACUCGCAUACUCACAUGGGGCUUACUGUUUUUCGCAUUUUUAUUUUCUUUUAUUUUUAAGAUAGUAUGAACAUGAUUAACUAAGUAAACUAGUUGAAAUAAUUGAAAGGGAAAGGAUAACUACCAAGUUUAUCUCUCGGCAAGGCGUUCGGUGUUUUCAAGUCCUCCGAACGGGACUCUCCAUUUUCUUAAUCGUCCUGAGGUUCGUUGGGUGGCGUAGUCGGUACUUCCGGUGGCGCCUCCUCUUCAUGUAUAGUUAUCUUCAUUUUCCACACCUGACUUGGUGCUUCAGUCUCCUCUGGAUAAUUCUGUUUAAACUCUACGUCUUCUGACCUUAUAACUUCUCCUUCAUAGUCUGCCCAUCCGUCCUUGAUGAUCUGCCUCCUCUGGUUGCGGUUGCGUCUUUUCCUUACCUGCUUAGAUUCUUCAAUGAUAUAGUUAGGGUCAGUAAAAUAACGGCGUACCUUCUCUGAGGGGAAGUGCAUAUGGACUUCUCCGGUUCCAAUGUAGAUAAUUGCUUUAACGGUGCUGAGGAACGGUCUUCCAAGGAUGAUGGGUGGAUCAUACUAAUCUUCUCCCAAGUCAAUAACUUGAAAGUCUGUGUAGACAAAGUGAUCGUCUAUUUUGACUGGGACAUCAGUUACUGUUCCUUUAACUUCUCGAAAUGUCUGAUCUGCCAUCUGGAGCUGAAUGUAUGUUGGUCUUAGGGGCAUGGUUUCGAAGAAGAGCCGAUAGGUGACUGCGGCCAUUAUGUUGACGCCCGAUCCGGUGUCACAAGUUGCCUUGUAGAAGUUGUAUCCAUUGAUGGAGCAAUAGAUGCUUGGCAUUCCUGGGUCGUCCUUCUUGGUCAAAAGCGGUGACUUAAGUUGGUGAUCUUGGCCUCCAUGAACUACAGUGACCAUCUUAGCUGACUCGGUCCACACUUGCUUGUUCCUGUUCCUCCUGUUGGUCCUCUUCCUUGAUUGACGUCUGGAUUGAUCUGGAAUUUGUGUAGUCUUGUUCUUGAAGAAAAAUGUCUCCUUCUUCCCUUUGACGUAGAAACUGAUCUUAGCAGCACUGGCGUAGAUGAUAGCUCCCGUGGUGUUCAAGAAUGGCCUCCCUAAGAUGAUAGGUGCUCUCUCAUCAUUUCCGGUCUCUACCACUACGAAGUCUGCUGGGGCAUAUAAGGUACCAACUCGGAUAAAAAGGUUCUUCACUAUUCCUUUUGGAAAAGUUAUCGUCUGAUCUGCAAACUGCAAACACAUGGUUGUUUCUAAUAAAGGAUAUGUAAAGAAUUUUUCAUAGAGUACCCUGGGUAUAAUGUUGACACUGGAGCCAAAGUCGCAGAGUGCUUCUGGAACGUCCACCAUGCCGAUAGAGAUCGGGAUGACGGGGCGUCCUGGAUCGCCUCUCUUGACCGGCAGAAGGUCAGUAGAAAAUUCAGUGGCGGGGUUACUCCAAUUACCUGCAUCAAACAUGUCUACAAGAUUUGCAGAUUCUAAUCCUUCCGGUUGUGAUGGUAUACCGGGGUUAGUAGUAGGAACAGCAGCAGCUAUUUGAUUUAACUGAGAUUCAAUCAUUUUAUUAAAGCUAAUUUGAUUCUUGAUGGCAGUAGAGAAAUUAUCCAUUCUAUUAUUUUUAUUUUCUAGCAUUUUAUCAUUAGAUGCCAAUUUCUUAGAUAAAUUAUCCGUUAGCUUUCCUUGAUUAGACACUAACUCUCUCAAAGGUGGAAAAUUAUUAGCAUUAUUGUUGUAAGAAUUAUUACCUUGAUAAUUACCUGAGUAGUUAGGCCUCUGUUGAUUCCAACCUUGAUUUUGUUGAGGACGGUUGUAGUAGUAGUUGUUGUUGUUGUUGAUGUAGUUCACAUCCUCAAGCAUCUCAGGGCAGUGGUUGCCUGAGUGUCCAGUGUCUCCACACUCCUCACAAGUCAUGUGAGAGUCGUAGAUGUGCAUAACUUCCUUCUUAUCUCCAGCUCUAUCAUCGAGCUUCUUCAUGAGCAGGUCUAGCUUUGCAGACAGCAUGUCUACCUCCUUGAGCUGAUGCAUACCUCCACCUCUCUUGCGUGUCUGGGUCCUCUCUUCAUUCCAGCUUUGGUUGGACGCCAUCUUCUCCACAAGAGCUGUGGCUUGUGGUAUUGUAAGUGAUAAGAAUGCUCCUCCAGCUGCAGCAUCCAUGGUCUCUCGGGCACUGUUGCCGAGCCCAUGAUAAAACAUCUGCAUCAAUAGCCAACUCUCCAUUCCAUGAUGGGGACAUUCUAGGAUGUAGUCUUGAAAGCGCUCCCAUGCUUCUGGAACAGAUUCAUCAUUUUGUUGCUGAAAACUUGUAAUCUUCCCACGGAGAGCAUUGGUCUUGCCCAUGGGAAAGAACUUAGCCAGAAAGUUUGUUGAGCAGAGUGCCCACGUAGUAUUCGUCUCCUUUGUAGCGUAAAACCACUGCUUCGCUCUUCCUAACAGUGAGAAUGGGAAGAGGCGAAGUAGUAUAGCAUCUUUGGAAACUCCUGAUACGGUGAAUGUGUUGCAAAUCUCCAGGAAGUGUUGUAAAUGAGCACUAGCAUCUUCGUGUGCCUUCCCACAGAACUGGUUGGAUUGCACCAUGUUGAUAAGUCCAGGCUUGAGCUCAAAGUUGCCAUCGAUCUCUGCAGCAGGUCCAGUGCGGAUGUUGUCCGUAGUGGGAGCUGAGAACUCGCGGAUUGAUUUGUUCGCCAUGGCUUCGAACUCUGAAGACAAGUUCCGGUAAUCUUCUUGAUUGGAUGAAGCUUCUUGCUGAAGUGUUGAUGAUCUCUUCUUGAGCUUGGCUCUCGUCUUCUUGAAUAAUGCUUCGGGAUUGUCAACAAAAUUUCCUGGAAGAUGUCUUCUAUUCAUACAUUCCCCUACAUAAGAUGAAAUAGGAAAAUAUAGGGGUAAAACUGUAUGAGAGAAUAGAUAAGCUCAAUCAUAUUAGUGAUGCGAAUGAUAACUCAAAAUCUUUUAUUCCAUUCCUGAUUAGUAAUCAACCUUCCCCGGCAACGGCGCCAAAAAUGCUUGUUGGGUUUUCUUAACAUCAUUACCAAAAGUAGACUAAGUUCUCUAAAUCUAGUAACGGUGCCAAAAAUGCCAAACCUAUCCCUCACACCACUUAAGCCAAGUUGUCAUCCCCAGCAUGAUAUAAGAGACGCGGUAUUGAAAUAUGCAAUUGCUCUUCUAAAUAAAUAAUGAAUGGGAUCUGCAAGCGCACAGAUUAAUACCGAUGUAGCAUUUUAACCGGGAAGUAUUCCAGGUAUCGUUAUUUAUAUUUUUACCACUGGGAAGGGAUUAGCAAUCAACAAUAUUGAUUACAGAAUAGAAUAUGAGAUUGAGCAUCUAUCAUUGCAUGUAUAAUUGAGAACAUUAUAUCUAACUCUUCAUACAGGGAUAAGUGUCACAUGAAAGAUAUAUGAAAUAAUAAUAGUGACAAGGAUAACUAAUCUAAUCUAGCCACAUAAUAAAUAUGAUAAGCACCUCAAUUAGAUACUCUAGAAAGUCAUUAGCAUGGUAUUAGAAUGAACUACAAGAAUAUUCCCUAAGUUAUUCUCAACUAUAUAGUCUAGCAUUAUCAUAGUUAGUGCAAGCAUACUUAGCAAUCAUUGUGAGACAAGACUACGCCCAUGCAUAGUGAUAUUAGCAAGGUAAAUGAGAAACAUAGCAAUCACUCCCCUGUAAUAAUGUUGCUCUGCCAGCCCAAUACACGAGAGGGGGACUAUAUAAGAAUCAAUGAAGCUGUCACUAUCACGAACCACCCAUUGGGUACAAUCGCAGAUAAAUACGGUAUAAGCACCACGCCUACACAAUAUCUAUCAUUUACCCAUGGAUCUGAUGGAUAAACGCUAUACGAUCCUAAGCAUGUAUAUAGAUCGAAUCUAACUAAGCCAAGUACAUAACUAUGAUAAACUAAGAACAAUAUAAUCUUGAAUAUAAGCAAGUAGAGCAAAGUCAUAAGCAAUAUAUUGAAGUAGAACAAAGUCAUAUUCAUAAUAUUGAAGAACAAAGAUAAUUAGAAGAACAAUUAGAAGCACAAUUAGAGAAUUACCAAGAAUCCUCUUGAAAGAUCCGGAAACCAAUCGAAGAUUGACUCCUUCUAGUUCUAAUCCUAUGUAGCUAUGCUAAUCUAGAUAUCUAAUUGAUGUGGUGGCUCUAAUCUUGAUCAGAGGCUUCUUCUCCCUUGAAGAACAAUGAAUUAGGGUUGAGAGGCUCUCUCCUCCAGGGGCCAGGGGGUCUGGUUUUAUAGUCCCUUCAAGUGAAUAUGGGCCAUUGGAUCAAACCGACAUAGAUUAUAUGGUUUAGAUUCAUCCUUUAGGUCGGUGGAGGUCUCCCGCGAAGCAGAGUCCUGAUUGGACUCCUGGAGAGGACGGGCGCCCCGACCAACUGGGCGGGCGCCCAGGGUCUGGCCCCGUUUCGCCUCCGCUUCGGUCUCGUGGCUUCUGGAGUCUUCUAGAUGUAAGAUAAUUGCGCGGCACGUUAACAUCUCUAUGUAAUCCCGACGUGUGGGCCUUUCUUCCGUAUUUCCUGAUAACCCCCUGCAGAAAUAGACAAACACCAAAACUCGUGGAAUUCUGUCAGAUAAAACCCUAAGUCUAGAUGUUGAUUUCAUUUGGAUCCUUUUCUUUGUUUAUUUAAUAAUUAAAUUUGAUACUUAAGGACCGUCAACAAACUCCCCCAAGCUUACCUCUUGCUCGUCCCUGAGCGAGGAUAGACUCAGCUAUGGAUCAUAAGUUGUUGCAAUAUUUUUAAAAAUUUGACGGUACACAUGCUUUUAAAUAAGAUCUCAUCUCUGAGUUAGAGUAAACUGUCAAGACUUAAAACUUACUUACUUUACCUUCACCAUGGGACUUGUAACCGUCACUUCUAUCUUGAGUGGUUAAAAGAUAGAACAGUCUAGUCAAGUGCCAUGUCUCUUAUUCUUGAUCAGCUAUAGCUCUGGGGUUUUUGCAGAUUUUCAAAUAAAACUCAGAGAUUCCUUGUAUGAUUCUCUCAGAUCUCUCUUUUGUGGUAUUUCUGGAUCCUUACCAAGGCAGUGAUGGUAUAUGCCUUCUCUCAAUAUAUGUGGUAUUUGUGGUAUAAAGCAUAGUGACAUUGCCUUCUCUCUCACCCUACUCUAAUAAGGCUUUAAUAUCUGGAGCUCAUAGGUGGGAGAUAAAGUAUACAUACUUACAAGACAUGUAUUGCAUAGUCAAACCAUGGAUCCAAAGAAACAAGCCAAUGACUUUAAUCAAGAUGUGCAUGUGUGGUGAAUGAAUGAUGUAUGGUGAUGAUGGUGAUAAUAAUGGUGGUGGAAGUCUAAUUCUACUUUGCUCUUUUGAGGGGAUACAUACCUUUCUUGCUUUUUUGAAACUUUAUGAGGAGAAUGAGAUGCUCUUCUUUUUCUUUUCUCUCAGGUGGGUAUCUUGCACCCCUAAUUCUACUGUCGGACACUUGUCUAUUUUUACCUCUCGUCUCACUCUCUUUUCUUUCGAGGUUCCGAGCAGUUGCUCCUUUUUAUUUCCUCGUAUUUCUCUCUCUCUUUUUUCAGAGCAUUCAUCUCUUGAGAUAAUAUAGCAAGUGGUAGUAACAAUAUAACUUGAGCAUUUAUUUUACAAGGAAAAACAGAAAUAUUUUUGGCUAUUCUCUCCAGGAUUAGGAGUAGAAAAUUUUUGGGUGAUUCUGGAGAUGGAAUGGGUGGAUAUAUGUGGAUGGUACUUCCGGAAUAGAAGUAGCAUAUAUGAGCGAACGUGCAAGUGAAUCUUGAUUUAACCACAUGACAAAUUCCUAAGGGUCUACACAGCUUGACCACACUCAAUGCUCAUAAGCAGUAAAUAGUAAAUGUGUGGCUCAAAGUCUAGCAAGCAUGUAUAUAUGGCUGUGGUAGGAAUUUAAACUCUCAUCAUACAGGAACUCAUCAUGCAACACUUUAAAGAUUUUUUAAAAGAUAAAAUUCUCCAGAAUUCUAGCAUCUCUAGGAACAGAUAAACAGCAGCUCAACCUUCCCAUAUCGUAUCCGUUAACAACUUAGACUUCAGAUCAAGUUUUCAUCCCACAAGUUUAGGUCUAGAGCAAGCUUUAAAUUAUAACAGUUAUAUCUAAACUUGAGAGAGAACUUAAAAUGUGCAAAUUAGGCAGAGCAACUAUUCAUCAUUUCCAUGCUUAAGUUUUAUUUAGAUACAGAUUAGCAUAGCCACUUUAUUUAUUUAUAAACACACUAAGCAAAAGACAUAUAUAUAAGCAUAAAAUAUUUAUUUGGUUUUUCAUAGUUUAUGUAUUUUAAUAUUCUAAUAUAGUAUAAGUAUAAAGAUAGAUAGAUAGAUAGAUAGAAAUACUUAUCGGGAUAAAUGGGGGUGCUCUCCCCCAAGUUGAAUUUUGACGUAAUUUCUCCUGAUGUAGCUAGCAGGUGGCAGAGGUGUAUUUGAAAGUCAGCAGUAUUCUGACAGCGAUUAGAAUGUCCUCCGUCUGCUAGUCUUCUUGAUUCUUAAAUUCUGUAGAGCUCAAAUUGACAACAAAGCUUGUGGAACUGAUUAAGUGUUAGCAUAAAUAUCUAGCCUUUAUCAUGUUGAGACUCCUUAAUAAUUAUUACUCCAUGUUUUUAUAUUUUUUUUUAUUUUAUAAAGCAGAAAAGAAAUAUUUAUUUUAUUUUUAUGCCACCACAGUGAAUGUACUUAUGGGUUUUAUGCCACUCGCAUACUCACAUGGGGCUUACUGUUUUUCGCAUUUUUAUUUUCUUUUAUUUUUAAGAUAGUACGAACAUGAUUAACUAAGUAAACUAGUUGAAAUAAUUGAAAGGGAAAGGAUAACUACCAAGUUUAUCUCUCGGCAAGGCGUUCGGUGUUUUUAAGUCCUCCGAACGGGACUCUCCAUUUUCUUAAUCGUCCUGAGGUUCGUUGGGUGGCGUAGUCGGUACUUCCGGUGGCGCCUCCUCUUCAUGUAUAGUUAUCUUCAUUUUCCACACCUGACUUGGUGCUUCAGUCUCCUCUGGAUAAUUCUGUUUAAACUCUACGUCUUCUGACCUUAUAACUUCUCCUUCAUAGUCUGCCCAUCCGUCCUUGAUGAUCUGCCUCCUCUGGUUGCGGUUGCGUCUUUUCCUUACCUGCUUAGAUUCUUCAAUGAUAUAGUUAGGGUCAGUAAAAUAACGGCGUACCUUCUCUGAGGGGAAGUGCAUAUGGACUUCUCCGGUUCCAAUGUAGAUAAUUGCUUUAACGGUGCUGAGGAACGGUCUUCCAAGGAUGAUGGGUGGAUCAUACUAAUCUUCUCCCAAGUCAAUAACUUGAAAGUCUGUGUAGACAAAGUGAUCGUCUAUUUUGACUGGGACAUCAGUUACUGUUCCUUUAACUUCUCGAAAUGUCUGAUCUGCCAUCUGGAGCUGAAUGUAUGUUGGUCUUAGGGGCAUGGUUUCGAAGAAGAGCCGAUAGGUGACUGCGGCCAUUAUGUUGACGCCCGAUCCGGUGUCACAAGUUGCCUUGUAGAAGUUGUAUCCAUUGAUGGAGCAAUAGAUGCUUGGCAUUCCUGGGUCGUCCUUCUUGGUCAAAAGCGGUGACUUAAGUUGGUGAUCUUGGCCUCCAUGAACUACAGUGACCAUCUUAGCUGACUCGGUCCACACUUGCUUGUUCCUGUUCCUCCUGUUGGUCCUCUUCCUUGAUUGACGUCUGGAUUGAUCUGGAAUUUGUGUAGUCUUGUUCUUGAAGAAAAAUGUCUCCUUCUUCCCUUUGACGUAGAAACUGAUCUUAGCAGCACUGGCGUAGAUGAUAGCUCCCGUGGUGUUCAAGAAUGGCCUCCCUAAGAUGAUAGGUGCUCUCUCAUCAUUUCCGGUCUCUACCACUACGAAGUCUGCUGGGGCAUAUAAGGUACCAACUCGGACACAAAGGUUCUUCACUAUUCCUUUUGGAAAAGUUAUCGUCUGAUCUGCAAACUGCAAACACAUGGUUGUUUCUAAUAAAGGAUAUGUAAAGAAUUUUUCAUAGAGUACCCUGGGUAUAAUGUUGACACUGGAGCCAAAGUCGCAGAGUGCUUCUGGAACGUCCACCAUGCCGAUAGAGAUCGGGAUGACGGGGCGUCCUGGAUCGCCUCUCUUGACCGGCAGAAGGUCAGUAGAAAAUUCAGUGGCGGGGUUACUCCAAUUACCUGCAUCAAACAUGUCUACAAGAUUUGCAGAUUCUAAUCCUUCCGGUUGUGAUGGUAUACCGGGGUUAGUAGUAGGAACAGCAGCAGCUAUUUGAUUUAACUGAGAUUCAAUCAUUUUAUUAAAGCUAAUUUGAUUCUUGAUGGCAGUAGAGAAAUUAUCCAUUCUAUUAUUUAUAUUUUCUAGCAUUUUAUCAUUAGAUGCCAAUUUCUUAGAUAGAUUAUCCGUUAGC
rnacentral:lncRNA from 1 species